UGGUCAAAAUUCGGCUACGUCUGACAACACUGGUUGUUACGUAACGGUUAUCAGUAAUUUAUGAAAAAGAUAACCUUAAUCAUCAUAUCAAUAACAUAUAUUACUUUUACCACUACUACAUUCACUCUGCUCUGUUCGUAUUUUAGUCGUACACCAGUCGUACACAUUUAACAGCGUCAGUCGUCAGUCGUCAUUUUGCGAACGGAUAUUAAAUAUUAUUGCUGUCUCUUUUAGAAUUAGAAUCAGUGAGCUAUACUUGUUCUUAUUUGCAGAGUUUACUGGAUGUGUAAAAUGACUAGAUACACGAACAUGUGAGAAGUGUAGUAAUCAAAUUUUCCAGAAAAAUUAGUACCAAUUAUACACCUCGAUUAAUGAUGUCCACUAAUAUUCGUCUGCCACUGUACUGCGGGGAUACAAACCUUUCACGCCUGACUCGUGACUCCACAAAGCUGACUCACUCGCCAGUGAUAUGUUGCCUGUUGCUCACCACCACAGAACAUUUAUACAGGGUGCCGCAUCCAAGUCUGGAUAUAGGGAAUUAACAUGCGAAUUGGUUUUUAUUUUAUAAUAUCUCCCCAGAUCACUUUAAAGCUAUUAUUGAGUGAUGGCUUUGUGGAGGUCGAAGAGGGCUAUCGGCCAGUAUUUUUUUCAAAUCGUUUCAUCGCGCUCAUUCACUGUAAAAAGGUUUUAAAAAUCGUAUUUUGAAAUUCGCGCCCGAUCCGAAUUGUCGCGAAGUGUUCCGUCGUACUGUCGAAGUUCGGCGAUCGCGUAUUUUCAUUAUCCAUGCAAAAUUCAAAUGUCAAAGUGAAAUUAGAAAUUAUUCUCAUCAGAAAUCAACGAACAAGUCAAACUGAAUUAUUUUAUCCAGUGUGAUGAUUAUUGUAGGACAAAUUAAACGGAAUAAAUCCACAAAUUGAUCCAUUCAUUCGUCAUAGUGCGCGACCCCGUCAAACGAGCCAUCUCGAACUACAAUCAGACCGUAUCCAAAAAGCCCAAGAUGAAGACUUCAAGACUUCGAGCAGCUGGUCUUCCUCAAAACCCCAUCAAAGCCCAUCGGCAGCAUUGCGACAUUUUCUGGGAGCCCUCAAGCUAGGAAUGUACUCGGGCUGCCACACUCAGUCAAUUUAAACGGAAUAAAUGCACAAACUGCACAAAAUAUUUUAUUAGGUUAUGUUGCUGGUGCUGAUCGAGUCUUUAUUACUAAAAUCUCAUUAAAAUGCCAUGUUCUACUGCGAUUAGAUGAAAAAGCGAGGGCCCGCAUUUCUUAUUGUGUGAUGAUAAGAUUUACCAUCAAAAUAGCUGGCGCUUUUGAAGAGGACCUUUUAAUGAACCAUUUAGAUAACUACAAAUAACAAAACUUAACAAUUGUUGAUGAAUGAAGUAACGAAAUAUUGUACGAAUCUGGAGAAGUAUUGCACUAUUUUCAAGAAUUGCUCAAAAAGACUGCUCUCAGCAGCUGUACAGUAAGUAAGCCAAUCUUCAAAACUCCUACGCGUGUUGAUCAGCAUUUUAGUUGAAAUCUGAAGACAAUAUUGCUGGAUUGCUUGUUUCAGCGCUUCUCUGUUUGUAUAGCUUGUCUGAAUGCAGAUGGUCGUGAAGAAAUCUCCAAAGAAAAAAUUCUCAGGGGUUUAUAUCCGGCGAUUGCACAGGCCAAUGGGGCGGUGCAAACUUUCCAUUCCAACAUUGCGGAAAAAUACUGGUUCAAAUAAACAACAUUUAUGCGAACUGUAUGGCUGGAGAUUUGGUCCUGGAUGUAAAAGACCUGCUGCAGAUGCCGCACCCUUCGGUUAUGCUAUGUUCUACUGCGAUUAGAUGAAAAAGCGGGGGCCUGCAUGUUCUUCAACAGUUAAUUUAAUUAGUAGGUAAUUUGGAUAAAUUUCACCCUUUUUUUGGAAUCACUAAAGAUUGGAAGUCAAUUGAUUUUACAUUCGUUAAGCAGGGAUGGAUUUUUUGCCUCCAGGAAGCAUCUUCAUUACAGGAAAUUUUUGAGAGAGAAAUGUAGAACAUUGACUCAUCAACAUUUUAAAGUAUUUUUCUCUAUUACGAAUGUGUUUUGGGAUUCAGAAACUUUUGUAUUACUGUUUUAUUUGUUUAUUGUGUUAACAACAACAAAAAUAAAAAUAAUAUUUCGCAAAAUAAAGUUACAUUUAUUUUCAAAGGUGAUAAAAAUUACAUAAAAUCAGGUGGGCACGACGUUUUCUAGGGGUCUUAAACAGAUGAGAUAGAAGAACUUCAAAAAGCAUCAUGACAAAAAAUUGAAGCCUGGGGACUACUUCUCACAUAUAGAGUUUUACGAAGGAACGCUUGAGAGAAUCUAGGCUGAUGGAGAGUUUUUGAGGAAAAUUUGUUUUACUGACGUUCAUUUGGUCUUAAGGGAAGUUAUAAUCGUCAGAACGAUCAAAUUUGAGCAUUACACAACCCUCACGUGGUCCAUGACCUUCGUUAUCAAUGGCGUGCAAUUGUCAGUGUAUGACUGGGGCUUCUAGGACAUCAUGUCAUUGCACCUUUUUUCAUCGAAUCCGGAUUGAAUGCUCAGAAGUAGGAUAAUAUGCUAGCUCAGCAAAUACUUCCUGGGACUCGAAGGGUGCGGCAUCUGCAGCAGGUCUUUUACAUCCAGGACCAAAUCUCCAGCCAUACAGUUCGCAUAAAUGUUGUUUAUUUGAACCAGUAUUUUUCCGCAAUGUUGGAAUGGAAAGUUUGCACCGCCCCAUUGGCCUGUGCAAUCGCCGGAUAUAAACCCCUGAGAAUUUUUUCUUUGGAGAUUUCUUCACGACCAUCUGCAUUCAGACAAGCUAUACAAACAGAGAAGCGCUGAAACAAGCAAUCCAGCAAUAUUGUCUUCAGAUUUCAACUAAAAUGCUGAUCAACACGCGUAGGAGUUUUGAAGAUUGGCUUACUUACUGUACAGCUGCUGAGAGCAGUCUUUUUGAGCAAUUCUUGAAAAUAGUGCAAUACUUCUCCA